UACAGAGGUCCCAAGCGUUGUUCGGAUUCACUGGGCGUAAAGGGUGCGUAGGCGGUCGGGUAAGUCUGAUGUGAAAUCUCACAGCUUAACUGUGAAACUGCAUUGGAUACUAUCCGGCUCGAGGAAUGGAGGGGAGACUGGAAUACUUGGUGUAGCAGUGAAAUGCGUAGAUAUCAAGUGGAACACCAGUGGCGAAGGCGAGUCUCUGGACAUUCUGACGCUGAGGCACGAAAGCCAGGGAGGCAAACGGG
rnacentral:rRNA from 1 species